AUUCGGUAUGCUGUAACUUACUGCUGGU
rnacentral:sRNA from 1 species